CCGAGCUCCACCCGUCUGCCUCCCUCUCCGCUCCGCGCUCCAUCUUUCAUUUCCUUUACUUACGAGUCACAACGAGCGCGUGACUGUGAAAAUAUAAGACGGUGUGAUAAGAGAUGAGAGCAGGAUCUGGGUGAAUUCGUUUAACAUCGCGGUCGAGCUUCAUUCUCUCCCAGAUUUGUUUUCUGAAAGGCGGUCAGUGUGUGGUGCUGCUGAUGUGUGCUGCAGGACUCUUCAUACUUCAGUGUGAACAAACAUCAGCGCAGAAGAGUCAAACUGUCCCUGACUCACCUUGAUCAGCUCCAGCCAGCAGUGGACAGGUCAGAACCUGGAGGUCAGCUCCGGAUCACUGCUGCAGUCGGGCCGAUCAACAGGAGUGAAGAUGAAUCUGUGAGUGUCGGAUCAGAACAGAAUCUGAAGAGUGUCAGUGUGUUUAUUCCUCCAGGACUUGUGGACCUGAGCAGAAAACUCAUCACAGUUUUAAUUGCUCUUAAGUUGAAUUACAUAUUAUAAA